CCUACGGGUGGCAGCAGUCGAGAAUCAUUCACAAUGGGGGAAACCCUGAUGGUGCGACGCCGCGUGGGGGAAUGAAGGUCUUCGGAUUGUAAACCCCUGUCAUGUGGGAGCAAAUUAAAAAGAUAGUACCACAAGAGGAAGAGACGGCUAACUCGGUGCCAGCAGCCGCGGUAAUACAGAGGUCUCAAGCGUUGUUCGGAAUCACUGGGCGUAAGGCGUGCGUAGGCGGUUUCGUAAGUCGUGUGUGAAAGGCGCGGGCUCAACCCGCGGACGGCACAUGAUACUGCGAGACUAGAGUAAUGGAGGGGGAACCGGAAUUCUCGGUGUAGCAGUGAAAUGCGUAGAUAUCGAGAGGAACACUCGUGGCGAAGGCGGGUUCCUGGACAUUAACUGACGCUGAGGCACGAAGGCCAGGGGAGCGAAAGGGAUUAGAUACCCCGGUAGUC
rnacentral:rRNA from 1 species